rnacentral:tRNA from 1 species
GCGGGUAUCGUAUAACGGCUAUUAUGCGUGCUUCCCAAGCACGAGACCGGAGUCCGACUCUCCGUACCCGCACCA